GCCCGAACUGCAGUGCCCUAUCUGUCACCAACUGCAUUCCUCAUCGUGUAACCGAUUCGCAAUUAUGGCGAUGUCUCCUUGGUAUGGCGGAAACUGAACCGCAACGACGCCGCCUUCCUACACAACUAACGCAACAACCAGUUCCUGCGCCGAUGUCUUCAAGUACUACACCACCAAAGCACCGGAGUUUUAUAGCACAACUUACGCUGCCCCGAGCCACUACACUGAUGCCCUGAAGUAUUACUCUCCCUGAGUUACUACUCCAUCUAGGCGACGGAGUUCUACAUGACUACGCAUGCUGCCACAUUCUACUACACCGAGACUUCUAACUGCUACACCGAGGCUCCCGCUGAUUUCUCCACCAAGACGGUCGAAUACUACACCGAA